rfam:Parcubacteria bacterium GW2011_GWB1_43_6 TV98_C0010, whole genome shotgun sequence.
GCCAAUGUAGCUCAGCGGUAGAGCAACUCCAUGGUAAGGAGUAGGUCAUCGGUUCAAAUCCGAUCAUUGGCU